AAAUUAGUUUAAAAAAAAAUAUUAGUUUGUGGAAUUAAAGAUUAUAAAAUUGAUUUAAU
rnacentral:tRNA from 1 species